CCCCCCCCCCCCCCCCCCCCCCCCCCCCCCCCCCCCCCCCCCCCCCCCCCCCCCCCCUGUGUGUAUGUGUGUGGGAUGGGAUGUGUGUGGUGGAUCUGUGUGUAUGUGUGUGUGAUGGGAUGUGUGUGGUGGAUCUGUGUGUGUGUGUGUGUGAUGGGGUGUGUGGCCCCAGUGCAGCCUCUCCUGCAGUUUAACACCUCUGGGUGCUGGGCAUGGGAGCUGAGAAUGUGUCUGUGACCCCUGGACUCAGAUCCAGCCUGGAUUAAUCAGCUGCUCACCACCUUAAGGGUUUAGCUGACACCCAUGUAAAUCCAAAGCAAAGCCCGGGAGAUGCCUGUUCCUUGUUUGGGAUGAGGAUAGUGGAACACAACCCCGCGUGCCACAGAUCUCUCCAAGGACACAGCACUGCUCCCUCCCGGCUGCUGCACCUCCAUCACCCCCCCUGCAAGAUGUGUGUGUUUAUUUAGGGAUUCCUUUGAUCCUGGAGCAUCUUGGAGGGUGCUGGAUCACUUCAUGCUCUCUUAUAGGGAGGUGUCCUCUGGGAAUUCGCCUGCAGGAGGACUGACAAGCAGCAAUGACACUCGGUCCCUGUCCGGACACCCGGCACGGCACAAGGAGGCCGGACAUCGAGGUGCUGCCUCUGUCCUUGAUGCCAGCCACGCUCCUCGUCCUCCUCGUCCUCCUCAGCCCCGGCACCACCUCUGAGCCUGAGAUGUUGCCAUUCCCAGGUGAGAUUCUUCUCUUAAAGUCACUUUUCUCCAGGAAGUUUUGUAAUUGAAAAAUGCAUUUUCAUGUAAAAGAGGGGAU
rnacentral:lncRNA from 1 species